UUCUUCCUCAUCUAAUAAUGUCAGAAAAGCCAAACCAAUCUACAUAUCCCUCUACCAUCGACAUUAUUUAGGGUUUAUUUUUGUGGCUGUUGAGUACAAGUGUGUCAUGUGUAGUACGUCUGACUAAAACAUUUUUCUAUCUGAUCCUUAAGGAAACAGAUGAUUAUCGAUACUUUGACCCAAAGAUGCUGCGAGGCAGUGAAAGCUCCAUCCCCAGGAACAAGAACCCGUUUCAGGAGGCCAUCGUCUUCGUAGUGGGUGGAGGAAACUAUAUCGAGUACCAGAAUCUGGUGGACUACACCAAGGUAUGGUAGUACAUUUCAAAGUUCUUUUCCAUAUUUUAGUCUGAUGUCUCUUUAGAUGAAUACAAUGUAGUUUCAUAUGGGAUGGGUUAAAUAUCAAACUAAAACUCGUAAAGUUUAAUGACACUAAAACAAUUUAGGUCCUUCAGUGAAAACACUGUCACAUUAUAUAAAAUAGAAGUCGUGAAAAUGUAUUCAAAGUCAAAGUAAACUUUAUUGUCAUUU